rnacentral:tRNA from 1 species
CGAGGGUUAGUUUAAUAAAACCCCUGAUUUCGGCUCAGGAAAUUCUGGUUUAAGCCCAGGACCCUUAA